rnacentral:rRNA from 1 species
ACGGGAGGCAGCAGUGGGGAAUAUUGCACAAUUGGCGCAAGCCUGAUGCAGCAACGCCGCGUGAGGGAAGACGGUUUUCGGAUUGUAAACCUCUGUUCUUAGUGACGAAGAAGUGACGGUAGCUAAGGAGCAAGCCACGGCUAACUACGUGCCAGCAGCCGCGGUAAUACGUAGGUGGCAAGCGUUAUCCGGAAUUACUGGGUGUAAAGGGAGCGCAGGCGGGAUAUCAAGUCAGCGGUGAAAUGUAUGGGCUCAACCCAUGAACUGCCGUUGAAACUGUUAUUCGUGAGUGGAGUAGAGGCAGGCGGAAUUCCGAGUGUAGCGGUGAAAUGCGUAGAUAUUCGGAGGAACACCAGUGGCGAAGGCGGCCUGCUGGGCUCCAACUGACGCUGAGGCUCGAAAGUGUGGGGAGCAAACAGGAUUAGAUACCCUGGUA